AUUAUCAUUUUAAUAGUAACAUCAGUAUGGCAGGAACAUGUCAUUAGUCUUAAGAGCAAAGUACGAAUCGGGUUUUAUUUCUUCCAUCUUAAGCAAGGCGACAUCACUCCGUUUGCAUUCAGACGGUGAUUACAUGUCUAAUGAAAACUAUCUCAGUUGAAUUUCCAAAGUAAAUGCAAUUUAAAUAUCUAUUUAUCUGUCUUUGAGAGUGGCUUUGAGCUAUUAGUUCAUGUGAACAGGUCUGGCCUGUUAAUUUUCUGCCUCUCCUUGAGCUCAGACGCAGUCGGGGAGGGACAACGUUCCCCCAACGCCACCCUCAAACUCAGCAGUGGAGAUGAAUAAUGCAGUCAGACCAACCCCCGUCACACACACACACACACACACACACGGGUGGCAGGGCCUGGAGCGCCGCAGGUUCAAGUGUAUGCACUUGAGGGGCACCGCCAGUAUCAGCGCACAAUUAUCUGGGUCCCGGGGUCUCUUCCUGAUUGGACUGGACUUUACGGCUGCUGGGACUUUUGCUUAAAACUCUUAACAAACAGAGCUGCCUGGCUCAGGGCUGGCCCCCAGCUGGACGCUCUAGACUGGUCCUCGGGGACACAGAAGGACUCUGUUCGAAUCCGUAUCGAUCCGUGAUGCUGAUGAAAGAACCCACUGGUCACCUUGAGCCCUGUGUAUCCCGCGGCAACACUGCAGCCCACCCGUGUCACUUUAGUCAGACCAUGAGGCUCCGGGGCACGAGAGGUGUGUGUGUGUGUGUGUGUGUGUGUGUGUGUAAGAGUGAGAGAGAGAGGCAGAGGUGAGGUGGUCUGUGAGGAAUAAUGAUACAUUGCAUUUCAUAAAAAAAAAAAAAAAACUUGUGAAUAUAUACAUUGGAUCUAAAUUUGUGUUGUUGUUGUUUUUAUUAUUAUAAUGUUUAAAGCCUGUAUAACAUCUGCAACUGAAUCAAUUCACUUUAUGAAUUAACUAGUAAGUGAACUGAUGUGGUCACACUUGAGUUUGGGGACCAAUUCUCACUUUUACCUAACUAUUAGCUAUUACGUUUGCCUCAAUAAACUCCUAAUUUCCUUAUAUUAUUAAUAGCA
ensembl:lncRNA